rnacentral:rRNA from 1 species
UCGACCUGAGGUCAGGC